rnacentral:rRNA from 1 species
GAGCCAAUGGAUUGUGAGCUUGCUCUCAAGAAGUUAGCGGCGGACCGGUGAGUAACUCGUGGGUAACCUGCCCAUAAGACUGGGAUAACUCCGGGAAACCGGGGCUAAUACCGGAUAAUAUUUUGAACUGCAUGGUUCGAAAUUGAAAGGCGGCUUCGGCUGUCACUUAUGGAUGGACCCGCGUCGCAUUAGCUAGUUGGUGAGGUAACGGCUCACCAAGGCAACGAUGCGUAGCCGACCUGAGAGGGUGAUCGGCCACACUGGGACUGAGACACGGCCCAGACUCCUACGGGAGGCAGCAGUAGGGAAUCUUCCGCAAUGGACGAAAGUCUGACGGAGCAACGCCGCGUGAGUGAUGAAGGCUUUCGGGUCGUAAAACUCUGUUGUUAGGGAAGAACAAGUGCUAGUUGAAUAAGCUGGCACCUUGACGGUACCUAACCAGAAAGCCACGGCUAACUACGUGCCAGCAGCCGCGGUAAU